rnacentral:rRNA from 1 species
UACGGAGGGUGCAAGCGUUGCUCGGAAUUAUUGGGCGUAAAGGGUAGGUAGGUGGUCUUAUUUGUCUGAGGUGAAAGCCUUGAGCUUAACUCAAGAAGUGCCUCAGAAACGGUGAGACUGGAGUCCUGGAGAGGGUCGUGGAAUUCCCGGUGUAGCGGUGAAAUGCGUAGAGAUCGGGAGGAACACCAGAGGCGAAGGCGGCGACCUGGACAGGAACUGACACUCAACUACGAAAGCGUGGGGAGCAAACAGG